rnacentral:rRNA from 1 species
UACGUAGGGUGCGAGCGUUGUCCGGAAUUAUUGGGCGUAAAGAGCUCGUAGGCGGUUUGUCGCGUCUGCUGUGAAAACUGGAGGCUCAACCUCCAGCCUGCAGUGGGUACGGGCAGACUAGAGUGCGGUAGGGGAGAUUGGAAUUCCUGGUGUAGCGGUGGAAUGCGCAGAUAUCAGGAGGAACACCGAUGGCGAAGGCAGAUCUCUGGGCCGUAACUGACGCUGAGGAGCGAAAGCGUGGGGAGCGAACAGG